CUCUUAUUAAGAGCGAGUGGAGGGAUUUGGCCCUGUGAAACUCCGGCAACAGCUGUAAAGCGAUGUGCUAAUUCCAACAGUUUAUUUAAACUGGAUGAUAAGAA
rnacentral:ncRNA from 2 species